AUUGAACGCUGGCGGCAGGCUUAACACAUGCAAGUCGAGCGGAGAUGAGGUGCUUGCACCUUAUCUUAGCGGCGGACGGGUGAGUAAUGCUUAGGAAUCUGCCUAUUAGUGGGGGACAACAUUCCGAAAGGAAUGCUAAUACCGCAUACGUCCUACGGGAGAAAGCAGGGGAUCUUCGGACCUUGCGCUAAUAGAUGAGCCUAAGUCGGAUUAGCUAGUUGGUGGGGUAAAGGCCUACCAAGGCGACGAUCUGUAGCGGGUCUGAGAGGAUGAUCCGCCACACUGGGACUGAGACACGGCCCAGACUCCUACGGGAGGCAGCAGUGGGGAAUAUUGCACAAUGGGGGCAACCCUGAUGCAGCCGUGCCGCGUGUAUGAAGAAGGCCUUCGGGUUGUAAAGUACUUUCAGCGAGGAGGAAGGUGGUGAACUUAAUACGUUCAUCAAUUGACGUUACUCGCAGAAGAAGCACCGGCUAACUCCGUGCCAGCCGCCGCAGUAAGAC
rnacentral:rRNA from 1 species